UACACUCCUGCGGGAGGCAGCAGUGGGGAAUAUUGGACAAUGGGCGCAAGCCUGAUCCAGCCAUGCCGCGUGAGUGAUGAAGGCCCUAGGGUUGUAAAGCUCUUUCACCGGUGAAGAUAAUGACGGUAACCGGAGAAGAAGCCCCGGCUAACUUCGUGCCAGCAGCCGCGGUAAUACGAAGGGGGCUAGCGUUGUUCGGAUUUACUGGGCGUAAAGCGCACGUAGGCGGACUAUUAAGUCAGGGGUGAAAUCCCGGGGCUCAACCCCGGAACUGCCUUUGAUACUGGUAGUCUUGAGUUCGAGAGAGGUGAGUGGAAUUCCGAGUGUAGAGGUGAAAUUCGUAGAUAUUCGGAGGAACACCAGUGGCGAAGGCGGCUCACUGGCUCGAUACUGACGCUGAGGUGCGAAAGCGUGGGGAGCAAACAGGAUUAGAUACCCCUGUAGUCCCA
rnacentral:rRNA from 1 species